GGAUUUUCUUGUCCUCAACCAGCCAAAGCCAGCCCUCCACUGCUUAAGAUCUUUCUCUCACUGUUGGCGUGUGUUGCGGUACAUGUGAGCGUAGUAACGGGAAGUAGUAAUUAAUUUGACAGGCUCAAACAGCACCAAAAGCGAUGCUCAAAAUCACCCAGCCUCGUGUGGAACGAAUCGACCCUGCUGAGGAGAAGCAGCGGGCUCGGUCUGCCACUAUUAGCACAUUAUUCAAGUUUGGUCUUCUAGUUACACUGAUACGAGCAACGCCCCAUGUUAUCAACCAGUUCCGGAGCUAGGAAGACUACUAUCGCAGUGGCUGGUUUCGACGGAUGGCGCGAAAUUUCAAGUGGAAGCGCUUCGCAAGAUUGCCAGGCGUAGUUCACCACCGACAGAAAUAAACGCGAUAAAAAAAAAAA
rnacentral:lncRNA from 1 species